rnacentral:rRNA from 1 species
AAAAUUUAAAAUUAUAAUACUAAAAUAGUAAAUAAUUAUUUAUUAAAACUUAAAUAAUUUGGCGGUAUUUUUGUUUAUUUAGAGGAAUCUGUUUAAUAAUUGAUAUUCCACGAAUAAAUUUACUUAAUUUAUAAUUUUGUAUAUCGUUGUUAUAAAAAUAUUUUUUAAUAAAAUUAAUAUUUAAAAAUUAUUAUAAAAAUUUAAAUCAGAUCAAGAUGCAGAUUAUAAUUAAGAAUAUAAUGGAUUACAAUAAAAUUAUUUAAAUGAAUAUUAAUUUGUAAGAUUUAAUUGAAAGUGGAUUUAAAUGUAAUUUUAUUUAAUUUAAUAAAAUGAUUAAAAAUUAAAAUAUGU